UGGGGGAAGUAGGCUAUUACUAUAACCAACAAGGCAGACUUAAUCCUGUGGAGUAGAACAUGAGCGAUAAAAUUGUUCACCUGAGCGAC
rnacentral:sRNA from 1 species